rnacentral:rRNA from 1 species
CCUACGGGAGGCAGCAGUGGGGAAUAUUGGGCAAUGGGCGCAAGCCUGACCCAGCAACGCCGCGUGAAGGAAGAAGGCUUUCGGGUUGUAAACUUCUUUUGUCAGGGACGAAGCAAGUGACGGUACCUGACGAAUAAGCCACGGCUAACUACGUGCCAGCAGCCGCGGUAAUACGUAGGUGGCAAGCGUUAUACGGAUUUAUUGGGUGUAAAGGGCGUGUAGGCGGGAAUGCAAGUCAGAGGUGAAAACUAUGGGCUCAACCCAUAGCCUGCAUUUGAAACUGUAUUUCUUGAGUGCUGGAGAGGAAAGCGGAAUUCCGUGUGUAGCGGUGAAAUGAGUAGAUAUACGGAGGAACACCAGUGGCGAAGGCGGAUAGCUGGACAGUAACUGACGCUGAGGCGCGAAAGCGUGGGGAGCAAACAGGAUUAGAUACCCGAGUAGUC